rfam:Aspergillus ruber CBS 135680 unplaced genomic scaffold scaffold00014, whole genome shotgun sequence.
UCCUCGAUGGUCUAGUGGUCAUGAUUUCCGCUUGUCAGUUUAGUAACUGCAAGCGCGGGAGACCUGGGUUCGAUUCCCAGUCGGGGAG